CAGUAGCCGCGGUAAUACGUAGGUGGCAAGCGUUGUCCGGAAUUAUUGGGCGUAAAGCGCGCGCAGGCGGAUAGGUCAGUCUGUCUUAAAAGUGCGGGGCUCAACCCCGUGAUGGGAAAGAAACUACAUGUCUUGAGUACAGGAGAGGAAAGCGGAAUUCCCAGUGUAGCGGUGAAAUGCGUAGAUAUUGGGAGGAACACCAGUGGCGAAGGCGGCUUCCUGGACUGCAACUGACGCUGAGGCUCGAAAGCCAGGAGAGCGAACGGGAUUAGAUACCCGUGUAGUCCCUGUCUCUUAUACA
rnacentral:rRNA from 1 species